GCCAGGAGCGGUGGCACGUGCCUGUAAUCCUGGUGGCUCAGGAGGCUGAGACAGGAGGAUCACAAGUGCAAAGUCAGACUCAGCAAACGUGAGGCGCUAAGUAACUCAAGUGAGACUCUGUCUCUA
rnacentral:sRNA from 1 species